UUUAACGGCCGCGGUAUUCUAACCGUGCAAAGGUAGCGCAAUCACUUGUGUUUUAAAUGAAGACCUGUAUGAAUGGCAUAACGAGGGCUAAACUGUCUCCUUCUUCCAGUCAAUGAAAUUGAUCUCCCCGUGCAGAAGCGGGGAUACGUCCAUAAGACGAGAAGACCCUAUGGAGCUUAAAACGAAAGAGCAGACCAUGUUAAUACACCUUAAUCAAGAGACCAAACUAAUUGAAACCUGCUCUAGUGUUUUCGGUUGGGGCGACCACGGAGCACAAUAAAACCCCCGUGCGGAAUAAAUGUACUACAUUUUAAAUCAAGAGCAACAGCUCUAAAUAACAGAACUUCUGACCCACAAGAUCCGGCCAGACCGAUCAACGAACCAAGUUACCCUAGGGAUAACAGCGCAAUCCCCUUCUAGAGCCCACAUCGACAAGGGGGUUUACGACCUCGAUGUUGGAUCAGGACAUCCUAAU
rnacentral:rRNA from 1 species